CAGUUUCAAUUUUACUAGUACAGGUUGAAACUGCAAAUACAACAGAGAUAAAGCAGUACCAAAUACAAAACUUGUAUAGUAAUUUAGUUGGGAACAUCAACAAUUCUGCGUCUGAAAAUCUCAACUCCCAAAUAAUCCAGAGGACCAUGAACAGCAACAUGAGGCUUCCCAACUUUUACACGGACAGCAGAUAUUUGAGGAUACUUUGUCAGGGUGGUAGAAGCAAUUUGUUGAGCCACUGACUCAAGAAGAUUAUGAGGUGGUCCCUCAACAACCUCCUUAACUAAGCGAUAAAUUUCAGUAUAGCUAAGAGUAUCUGACAGCUGGUCAGAUUUACCAGCUGCCCUGAGAUCCAUCC
rnacentral:misc_RNA from 1 species